UCUUUCCUUUUCUUCAGAUUUGUGUGUGUUUCUUUCGAAACUAUUUUGAUUUGUUUUGAGUUUCUAUUUCUCUGUUUCAUUUCUAAGGUUUCAGUCACGGUCUUGUUUAGUAGCUCAGAAAAUUAAGGGCAAGAUAAUAAAAAUUGAAACUUUUUAGGUUGUUUGUUUAUGAAAUGAAAAUGCUUAGCUUGGGCAUGAGUUAAUUUUGGUUCAAACGUUAACUUACAUAUUUGGGAUUUUCCCCCCUCUUUUCCCGGAUAUUGGGAAUUUGAGAUUUUGGGUUUGCUGAAGUGUGUUUAGCACUGUUGAUAAAUGAAGGGUUGUGAUUUUGAUUUUGUGUUUUUAUUGUUUCUGUGUAAUUUUUGCAUAAACCACAACAGCGUUUGGCUUAUGUACAUUUUUAUAGUUGUUUAUAGUUAACAUUGUGGAUGCAGAUGUUAGCAUUGCUUAACAAAAUAAAAGAAGAAAAAAAGAAUGGGGGAAGAAAUGAAUUAAAAAAAGAGGAAAAUCGGGGCCUCCUGUACCUUAAGCUGUCACCUUUUGAGUUUAUUACUGGAAUAGCUUGAUCAGGAAGUAGCAACAUUACAUUAUUUUAAAUCUCAGUCUCUAAGGCUUGCUGCUCUACAUCAAUUCAAAUCUGGACAAGUUCCUGUAUUGCUCGCAACUGAUGUUGCCAGCCGUGUUUUGGAUAUUCCUACAGUUGAUCUUGUUGUAAAUUACGAUAUUCCUAGGUACGCUAGAGAUUAUACUCAUCAUGUGGGGCGUACGGCAAGAGCAGGCAAAGGAGGGCUGGCUGUGAGCUUUGUUAUUGAGAUGUGCAGCUAGCUGUACGUGUCACUUGCAGGCCAAGCAAGUACUUGGAUAUUUGGGAUCUUCUUGAUGACCAAGAAAUUGAAUUGCCACUAAAUAGUAUGCAUCAGCCGGUUGAUGAUAGGGUGAGGACUUUCAUUGGUUUCUUGGGUACAAUUGCGCAGAAACCCCACAUGUACCCAAUUAGAUAUGUUAAUUGGAAGGACAUGCUAGAAGAACUUAAAGAAGAGUGUUGGCGUGUUGUAGAGAGAAAAUACUGUGUCCAUGUUAAUCCUAUUGCAUAUGCGGCUCUGAAGACAUUUACCUUACAAAAAAUUGGGAAAGCUUGGAGGGAUCAUAAGUCUAGGCUAAAGACUAAGCAUUAUAUACCUCAUUCAAGAAAUAAAGCACGAGUAAAGAACAACUAACCCAAGGGAUGCAUGCUAAAAGAUUGGGAUAUACUUGUUAAUCAUUGGUAUACUGAUGAUGCAGUUGUAUGUUUGUUUUCUCUCUCUUUUCCAUCAGGGAUCAUACCAAAAGGAGAAUGAUUAUUGAGAAACUGAGAGAAUACAUAUUGGAUUGUUUUCACAUAGGAUUUAUUAGUUUUAUGUGGGAUUUGUUACUUAAAGCAUACUGUAUAUAAACAUGUAAUUUUGUUGAAAGUAGAUAGAGUCAGAGAAGAAUAAGAACCGUCAUUCUAAACAGGAUGAUUUAAAUACUGUUGGUUCUUAUAGCUAUGCUGUGCAUGCUACAAAAAAGGUAAUAAGUAUUGUGACUAUUUUUUAAAUGAUUUUGACUUCUUCUAAAGUUUAUGUGAAACCAAUAUUCAUCACUACAUAAAUAUGUUGUUCAUAAUGUAGGAAAAAACGAAUGGAAGUCCUAUAGAGCAUGCAAUAUUAUAUCAAAUACUACAUACUCGUAAAGAUGGAUCUGCAAUUAAUCCUGUAGUGAAAGCAAAAAUGACAAAAUGAAGGAAUUGUUGGUUGAGCCUUCGAAUCAAUUACAGUCAUCUGACAUAAGUGGCAAUAUUGCAUGGUUAGAUGAUGUGUUUGCCAAAGUGCUGGGUAAGGAGCGCAAAGGUCGUAUUCGUGGGAUAGGGUUUGGUCCAAGCCCAAGUGGUUGAAGAAGCAAGAGUGCUCUCACGAACAUUGAAAUACACUCAAGUCAAGCAAGGGAUGACGAAAUUGUACAACUAAAGGCUUCCUUGGCUACUAUGGAGGAGAAACUAGCAAGUUUUGACGAAAUAAAGGAAAGACUUAGUCAAUUCGAAGAAAUGGAGCAAAGAAUGGCUCGCAUGCUUCUACAAAUGCAACAAAUUUCUUCCCAAUGCAAUCAGGAUGUUCCUUCAGUCCAACAAUCUCCAACUCUCCAAAAAUCGUUAGCCACAUCCCAUCAACCAAGCAGCUUAUAAGUUUUAUCUUCGUGUUCAAGGACUUUUUUGUGUACAAAGAACUACGGAAGAACAACCGCAUUUUUUGCAAGUGUUGAAGGAUAUUUUUAAACACUUUGGAACUUUGAUUAUAGUAUUAGCUUAAUUUGAGCGGUUGUUUUAUUUAGAGGACCACAUCUCUUUUUGUUAAUCUUAUGAUGGUGGUUAUAGACAACGUUAUGUAUUUGAUAAUAUAUUUCUAUGUUAAUACUAUGUUAGUUUGGAGACA